rnacentral:sRNA from 1 species
UCAUAAAGUACUAGAACGACGUGACAA